CCCGGGUUACCCCACCAGCCCGACCUCAACCCACUCACGUCCACAGCACGAGCCCCAGCGGCCUUGCGCGGUGCUUGCUCUCUAGUAGCGGCUGACUAGGACUUUGCGUGUGACCACUGCACCUCCAGGAAGGCCAGGUGCACAUCGCUUCCCAUGCGCCCGGCCUCAUGGCCUUUGGGGGUUGUCGUGUGGAAUGGAGAUGACACGAGUGCUGCAUGUGAGGUCAGUCAGGAUCUUUGAUUUUGGAGCACAAGCCUUCUGCGUGCUACUGACUGGGUCCUGGCCUCCCUCCUUCCAUGGCAUCGUCGUGAAUGGGAAUUUCCACCACUGCCUCCAUUAGGCAGAAGAUUGAACAUGUUGUAACUGUAGAAAGCCCGUCAUCCUUGUGUAUGCACUUGCUGAAAGAUCCACUGAAGAGCAACCUUCAUGAACAUUACCAGGGGACUUGUGCUCCUAUAAAACGCACUGUUUUCCUCACUGCGAGGUGGGUCUCUCACCGCGAUGGACUAUCUGUGAUCACAGAGCACUUCUUCCCUGGGCCUUCCCUGUCACACUGAUGGUGUGAGUAUGUAGGGCAGGGGUGGGAGUGAACAUGUUAAUCUCU
rnacentral:lncRNA from 1 species